GGAGUUAGCCGGUGCUUCUUCUGUGAGUGAUGUCCUUCCUGCCGGUUAUUGACCCGCAGGCCUUCUUCCUCACUGAAAGUGCUUUACAACCCGAAGGCCUUCUUCACACACGCGGCAUGGCUGGAUCAGGGUUGCCCCCAUUGUCCAAUAUUCCCCACUGCUGCCUCCCGUAGGAGUCUGGGCCGUGUCUCAGUCCCAGUGUGGCUGAUCAUCCUCUCAGACCAGCUACGGAUCGUCGCCUUGGUGAGCCGUUACCUCACCAACCAGCUAAUCCGACAUAGGCUCAUCCGAUAGCGCGAGGCCCGAAGGUCCCCCGCUUUCCCCCGUAGGGCGUAUGCGGUAUUAGCCUGGGUUUCCCCCAGGUUAUCCCCCGACUACCGGGCAGAUUCCUAUGCAUUACUCACCCGUCCGCCGCUCGCCACCAGGGAGCAAGCUCCCCGUGCUGCCGCUCGACUUGCAUGUGUUAGGUCCGUCGCCGCCGACGCGUUCUACUACUGAGCCGAGAUACAACUACUGA
rnacentral:rRNA from 1 species